GACGAACGCUGGCGGCGUGCUUAACACAUGCAAGUCGAGCGGUAAGGCCCUUUCGGGGGUACACGAGCGGCGAACGGGUGAGUAACACGUGGGUGACCUGCCCUCAGCUCUGGGAUAAGCCUGGGAAACUGGGUCUAAUACUGGAUAUGACUCCACGGUGCAUGUCGUGGGGUGGAAAGCCUUGUGCGGCUGAGGAUGGGCCCGCGGCCUAUCAGCUUGUUGGUGGGGNGAUGGCCUACCAAGGCGACGACGGGUAGCCGGCCUGAGAGGGCGACCGGCCACACUGGGACUGAGACACGGCCCAGACUCCUACGGGAGGCAGCAGUGGGGAAUCUUGCGCAAUGGGCGAAAGCCUGACGCAGCGACGCCGCGUGAGGGAUGACGGCCU
rnacentral:rRNA from 1 species